GGCGCAGUCGUGACGUUCGCUUGCUCGCGCGCGCUGUGUAGGCAGUGCGCAGGCGCGGGCUUGGCGGUGCAGGCGGCGGUUGAGGCUUACGGACGCGGUGCCGACCAUGACCCAACAGGGCGCGGCGCUGCAGAACUACAACAACGAGCAUCGAAGAGUUGUGUCAGAAACGAGAGGAGCUGUGCCGGCAGAUCCAGCAGGAGGAGGACGAAAAGCAGCGGCUACAGAAUGAGGUGAGGCAGCUCACGGAGAAAUUGGCCCGCGUCAACGAGAACCUGGCGCGCAAGAUCGCCUCUCGCAACGAGUUUGACCGGACCAUUGCGGAGACAGAGGCCGCCUACCUCAAGAUCCUGGAGAGCUCUCAGACUCUGCUUAGUGUACUCAAAAGAGAAGCUGGGAACCUGACUAAAGCCACGGCUUCAGACCAGAAGAGUAGUGGAGGCAAAGACAGCUGACAAGCCCUGUCUCAGCCGUGGCCUAUGGCUGCUCCCCAACAUGUCUGUCCUAAAGCAUCUUUGUUCUCCAUGGCCUCAGAUGUCUUUUAUCUCUGGUGCCCUGAGUGUCAAUUUCUGACCUCCACCUGCCUUGAGUGACAAGACAAGCCCCAGGACAGUCCAAUGGAAGAUGUGUUCCCAGCUCCGCACUCACAUGUGUUAUUGGAACCUUGAGCUCCUGGUCAGCUCCAUGAGGAGCCUCUUUCUGAAGCUCCUGUAUCUCCUUGGGCUGCCAGGAAUGUCUCGGUCCUAGUCCAGGUACUGUGGGAGCCCCUCACUUUGUCUCCUCAGCCACUAGGGCCCCAGGCCAGGCAUAUUGAAGAAAGAAUCUUGGCUCCAGAACCAAAACCUUAGGGCCCAUCCCCAUGACCUCUGGUGUUUCAAUAAAGGUUGUUUUGCAAGAUCUGUGGCAUGGCCUGCCAGC
rnacentral:lncRNA from 1 species